GACGAACGCUGGCGGCGUGCCUAAUACAUGCAAGUUGAGCGCUGAAGGUUGGUACUUGUACCGACUGGAUGAGCAGCGAACGGGUGAGUAACGCGUGGGGAAUCUGCCUUUGAGCGGGGGACAACAUUUGGAAACGAAUGCUAAUACCGCAUAAAAACUUUAAACACAAGUUUUAAGUUUGAAAGAUGCAAUUGCAUCACUCAAAGAUGAUCCCGCGUUGUAUUAGCUAGUUGGUGAGGUAAAGGCUCACCAAGGCGAUGAUACAUAGCCGACCUGAGAGGGUGAUCGGCCACAUUGGGACUGAGACACGGCCCAAACUCCUACGGGAGGCAGCAGUAGGGAAUCUUCGGCAAUGGACGAAAGUCUGACCGAGCAACGCCGCGUGAGUGAAGAAGGUUUUCGGAUCGUAAAACUCUGUUGGUAGAGAAGAACGUUGGUGAGAGUGGAAAGCUCAUCAAGUGACGGUAACUAC
rnacentral:rRNA from 1 species